AUGUUAAUAAAGCUUGUCCCAAGGACCCAUUUCCCUUGCCACGUAUUGACCAGAUUGUUGACUCCACAGCCGGAUGUGAUUUGCUUUCAUUUCUUGAUGCAUACUCAGGAUACCAUCAGAUCUUCAUGGCAGAAGAAGAUGAAGAGAAAACCGCAUUUAUCACCCCGUGUGGCACGUACUGCUUCGUACGGAUGCCUUUCGGUUUGA
rnacentral:rRNA from 1 species